AGCGAACGCUGGCGGCAGGCUUAACACAUGCAAGUCGAGCGGGCAUCCCUGUGGUGUCAGCGGCAGACGGGUGGGUAACGCGUGGGAACGUGCCCUUCGGUUCGGCCUAACUCUGGGAAAAUUGAGCUAAUACUGGAUACGUUCCAGAGCAGAAAGGUCUAUCUGCGGAAGGAUCGGGGCGCGUCUGAUUAGUUAGUUGGUGAGGGUAUGGCUCUCCAAGGCGUGGAGCAGUAGCUGGUCGGAGAGGAUGAUCAGCCACACUGGCACUGAGACCCGGCCCAGACUCCUACGGGAGGGAGGAGUGGGGAAUACUGGACGAGGGGGGCAACUCUGAUACAGCCGUGCCGGGUGAGAGAUGACGGCCGUAGGGUUGUGAAGCUCUUUGCUCCGGGGCGAUAAUGACGGUACCGGAUGAAUAAGCCCCGGCUAACUUCGUG
rnacentral:rRNA from 1 species